rnacentral:lncRNA from 1 species
GGACAGACCUCGAGGGUAACUUAAAAACGCCACGUGCUAUUUUUUUCACACCUCCCCGUGGAAAUUUGGGAUCUGUCCUGCGAGCGUCCGCCUUGCGCAGAAGCGUCUCUUGCUGUGAAACAUUACUUUUUGCAGUCGUCAACAAGGACGGGCGCGACGUAAGAAAGCCCAGGGAGCGUCGACAAAGCCCAUCAGAAGAUUGUCAAGAAUGCUAACAAUUCUUGCGUUCCUCUGCUCCUCUUGUCUGCUGUCAGGACUGAAGUGUUGACGGAAGAGUGCUAGUUGCUGGUAGAACCCUCCUCCGCUUUCGUCGGUGUGUAGACACAGCGUCACUGGACUGCAUGAGCAUCAAUCAUAACGAGAGAGAGGUACUGUUUCAAUUGUAUCAGCGAGUUCAAUAGUCGAUGGUGCAUUUUUACGACGGCCACAUGUGUGGCUCCCUUGGAAGCCUCUCUUGAAAAGCGCUCCUGACAAACAUGUCUGCAGAAAGGUAAAUCCCGGACCCAGCAGCCCAGACAGAGACGAUGGCCUCCUGUUUCUUGUUCCACAGGGCGACAAGCAGGAUUUUUUAACAAUCAGACCCACCAAAAGCCCCUCAUUUCGCAUAUGUAAUGGCUGAUAUCCUCUGAAUGAAUCACGGCAUCUUCCUCAUCGAUUCCCCUUUGUAUCUCGGGUGCCUCUGUUAGGUGUCGGUGAAUGCUUUCAGGAGGAAACAAUAUUGCAAAUGCGUCUACGUGUAUACCAAUGUUAACAGAAAGAGAGACGUACUAACGAUGGAGGUGCACACGAACGCUAUGCGUGCAAGGAAAUAUAUAUACACGACACGUGUGUAUAUAUACAGCCUGACAACUUUAAAAUAACGCCAGCUAUACUUCCGUAGAGUCAUCGUUCCACAGGAGUGCAAUGAAGCGAACGCAUGUUUUCGGUGCUACGGAAUCUGCCAGAUGCUCCAAUGAAACAGCAACUCCACUAUGUUUCAACUUGCAUAUGUCGAAGCGUUCAGGGACAGGCGGAGCAUGAAAUUUCCUCUCGGGCUCUGGUACCUUAUUUAUCGCUAAAACGGGUUUUCUAGUUUUCUCGCUGUAGGAAUAGGUAAGCCGACUCUGGGCGAGCGGACCGCUUUUCCUGAAAACAACUGAAUGAUCACCUCUAGAUUCCCAGCUUUAAGAUGCACCAAAGUUGCACAGCCGAUCGCGAGUCCAUUUCGACCGGAGUUGUGUUUCCGCAGCAGAGAGCGUUCUGUUUGCUGUGGCUGUCAAGCGUUUUGGACGAAGGGCGUUUUGCCACCUCACUGAACAGUUCAGAACGGUGUUGUCAAGCAGCGGAUUAAUGCCUGUGGACGUGUUCAUCCAAUUCCUUCUGCUGUGCUCAAUAUCUCGCUAGAGUAGUGCAUUGGUCGGUCCACAGCAGAGGGCAGGAACAACUUCCGCCUUUCCUGCUAGGACCCUCGGUGCUGAACUGGCCCCUUUCUCCGGAGCAACUAGAAGCUCACCACUCAGUCAGACCCCGAUAUGCAUCUGUACACAAGUCUUUUGGCCGCUAUGGCGUACCAUAAAUGCCUGUUAUUUAUGAUAAGAACACAAAUCAACCGGUUGCAUUUUCUACAGGUAGAAUGGGAUUCCACCACUUACGCACAGUACUCUUUUGGGAGAGAUGGCGCGUUGCUUCGCUAGCAACAGGAAACCUAACGGAGAAAAAUCCGCACUAUCUGGACUGUCGAGGUCUCGGUCUGGCUUCACAGCAAGUGGACAAAGAAUACUAGCCUCCUGGUGCCUCUGUCAGCCCGCUCUUAAACGUCGUCUCGAACAUCAGUCGGUGGCGCCAGACCCGCGUCAGUGUCCCCACGGCCGCUGCCUUCAGAAGCGGACGAAAGACUGGAUCGAGUUAAGUGUCAAACUGUCAAUCAGCUGGGUAUCCCAGCUGCCUAGGGGUCUCCCGUCGAAAAACUGAGAGUCAGAGAGCUUCUCUGUCGCCGCAGCAAGCCGUUGCUUUAGUUCACCACUCAAAACUAACAGCUUCGAGUUGACUUGGGGUAGCAGCCCCUGGAGCUUCCUCACAAACUCGUCCAGCCCAAUGAUGUUCUGCAGUUUCCCGGCAACCACCUGAUCGAUACCUAAGUCGUUCCAGUUUGUGAUGCGACGCAGGCUGGGCAGGGCAAUUUCCACUCGGCCCGCCUUGCUUUUGAGGCCUAACUUUUGGAAUACAGUCAAAAGAACGUCGGGCUCCAGUAUGCCUUGCAUCUGUUCCCGCUUGAUAAAGUCAGAUAAGGUCUUGUCCAUCAACUUGGAAACUUUCUCCUCAAAGGUCUUCAAGGCUUCUGAAAUGUUCGGAACCAACUGGAAAAGCCUCUCACUAUCUCCCGGCAGUUUCGUUUGGGCUUCCGGGGCAAGAGGCAGAGAAUACGUGUGGGAGUUCGAUGCUUGGACUUCAGACAGCCUUCUCACAUUGCUACCCUGCUGUCCUCGGAGACCCUCUUCGUAUAUCUCCUCCACGCGUUGCUUCAUUCGCGGCGACAGGGGUGCCUCUUGGUCAUAAAGAAGACUGUCUCGCAAAGCUCCUGCAACCCGCUCGUAAUUGUUGUUCACUCGCUGCAUCUGCAUCCACUUGCCAUGGGCCAGCUCUAGCACUGCUUUCUCUUCCGCAGGCAUCGUGUCACGAAUGGUUCCAUGCACUAGUCCCUCCACACCGACACGUUUUAGCACCGCUUCGACCGUCUCUGCAUUCACAGACUUUCUGCGACUGCUCAGCUGGCGUGACACUUCCUCAGCGAUAUCUCUCCUCAGUGUCUCAAUUUUCUCCUCAAACUCAGUAACUUUUGCCGACUCUUUCGUACUUGUGGAUGUCCAUUUCAGGCGUUCCUUUGCCUUCUCCAAAAAACUCAUGACCGAAAGUCUCCGGGGGGAAGUUGCUGUCUUUCCCUUGAUAAUAGAAGAGAAACUGACUUCAUCCAGCAGUUUGUUGAAUUUGGAAGACGCGGCAGGCUUCUGAAGGCUCUCCUUGUUG